AGAGUUUGAUCAUGGCUCAGAUUGAACGCUGGCGGCAGGCUUAACACAUGCAAGUCGAGCGGAGAUGAGGUGCUUGCACCUUAUCUUAGCGGCGGACGGGUGAGUAAUGCUUAGGAAUCUGCCUAUUAGUGGGGGACAACAUUCCGAAAGGAAUGCUAAUACCGCAUACGUCCUACGGGAGAAAGCAGGGGAUCUUCGGACCUUGCGCUAAUAGAUGAGCCUAAGUCGGAUUAGCUAGUUGGUGGGGUAAAGGCCUACCAAGGCGACGAUCUGUAGCGGGUCUGAGAGGAUGAUCCGCCACACUGGGACUGAGACACGGCCCAGACUCCUACGGGAGGCAGCAGUGGGGAAUAUUGGACAAUGGGGGGAACCCUGAUCCAGCCAUGCCGCGUGUGUGAAGAAGGCCUUAUGGUUGUAAAGCACUUUAAGCGAGGAGGAGGCUACUGAGACUAAUACUCUUGGAUAGUGGACGUACUCGCAGAAUAAGCACCGGCUAACUCUGUGCCAGCAGCCGCGGUAAUACAGAGGGUGCGAGCGUUAAUCGGAUUUACUGGGCGUAAAGCGUGCGUAGGCGGCUUUUUAAGUCGGAUGUGAAAUCCCCGAGCUUAACUUGGGAAUUGCAUUCGAUACUGGGAAGCUAGAGUAUGGGAGAGGAUGGUAGAAUUCCAGGUGUAGCGGUGAAAUGCGUAGAGAUCUGGAGGAAUACCGAUGGCGAAGGCAGCCAUCUGGCCUAAUACUGACGCUGAGGUACGAAAGCAUGGGGAGCAAACAGGAUUAGAUACCCUGGUAGUCCAUGCCGUAAACGAUGUCUACUAGCCGUUGGGGCCUUUGAGGCU
rnacentral:rRNA from 1 species